rnacentral:misc_RNA from 1 species
UUUACACUCUAGAUUCUCACUCUAGCGUCCAGGGCACACCAACAACGGGGAACAAACCCAAACGAUUGUUCUUGCACUCGAAAUUUCUUGGGAACUGUGUACAAAGUUCUGUCAGAGAUGCAACGAGAUAUUAGGAAAUGGUUAAUGAAGGCCCAUGACAAAGGAAAUAGCAAUGCUGCAAAGCCUGCACAACCUGCCCCAACAAAUACAGAAAAGAAACCUCCUCUGGCUGAGUUAAAGCCUGAGACACCUAUUCAAGGAGACCAAGAAAAUUCUGGCAGAAGGAAAACUAGCAAGUAUUUUGCCAAGGACAAACAAAAACCAAAAGAUGAGAAAGAACUUGAGGAACUUCCAACAAAGAGAAAAACUAAAAAAGAUGACCAAUCAGUGAAACCGCCACCUUCAAAGAAAGUUCACAAAGUUGAUGAUAGUGAAGAUGAUGAUGACUUUGUUUUGCUUGAUAAGAAGAAGAAUUCUGUAGAUGUCACUCCCAGUAAGAAAUUGAAGACUGGUUCAGGUAGAGCAGUUGCUCAGAAACCUGUAGGUAAUGAUGCAAGUGAUGAAGAUGAUGUUAAGGAUGCUGAAUCUCCUCUCAAGUCAAGUGGAAGAGGUCGUGGUGGUAGGGGAGGAUCAUCAGCAUCAGCUGGGAGAAGGGGUGGAUCAGCAACACUGGCUGGUGGGAGGGGCAGAGGUAGCGGACGGGGUGGAUUUAUGAAUUUUGGUGAAAGAAAAGAUCCUCCGCACAAAGGAGAAAAGGAAGUUCCUGAAGGAGCUCCUGAUUGUUUAGCUGGUUUGACUUUUGUAAUUAGCGGAACGCUUGACAGUUUAGAAAGAGAAGAAGCUGAGGAUUUGAUUAAACGACAUGGGGGUCGUGUUACUGGAUCUGUUAGCAAGAAAACUAAUUAUCUUUUAUGCGAUGAGGAUAUUGAGGGAAGAAAAUCUAGCAAAGCAAAAGAGCUUGGUACUCCCUUCCUUACUGAGGAUGGAUUGUUUGACAUGAUACGGUCAUCAAAUGCAAAAGCCCUUGCACGUGGUGAGGCAACGGACCAUGUGAAGAAAGUUGCUUUGGUGCCAAAAAAAAGCCCUCAGAAAGCAGAGGGCAACUCUUUAAAAACAAAUGUGAAUCGGAAAGAUUCAACCACUGGUGCCUCUCCUCUGAAGCAGAAAGAACAAACUAUCAAGCAUUCUUCUCUUCCAUGGACCGAAAAAUAUAGGCCAAAAGCUCCAACUGAUAUCAUUGGGAAUCAAUCACUGGUUAACCAACUUCAUAGUUGGUUGAAAAAUUGGAAUCAGCAGUUCCUUGAUGCUGGAAAUAAGGGAAAGAGCAAGAAACAAAAUGAUUCUAGUGCCAAGAAAGCUGUGCUAUUAAGUGGGACACCAGGUAUAGGGAAAACCACAUCGGCAAAGCUGGUCAGUCAAAUGCUCGGUUUCCAGGCAAUUGAGGUAAAUGCCAGUGACAGUCGGGGAAAAGCAGAUGCCAAGAUUAGUAAGGGAAUUGGUGGAAGUAAUGCAAAUUGUAUAAAGGAACUUGUCAGCAAUGAAGCUUUGGCUGUUAACAUGGAUAGGUCGAAGCAUCCAAAAACAGUUUUAAUCAUGGAUGAGGUAGAUGGGAUGUCUGCUGGGGAUAGAGGUGGAGUUGCUGAUCUUAUUGCUAGCAUAAAGAUGUCCAAAAUUCCCAUUGUCUGCAUUUGUAAUGAUCGUUAUAGUCAGAAACUAAAAAGUCUAGUGAACUACUGCUUGCUUCUCAGUUUCCGGAAACCUACAAAGCAACAGAUGGCAAAGAGGUUAAUGCAAGUAGCAAAUGCAGAAGGCCUUCAAGUUAACGAGCUUGCUCUAGAGGAACUUGCAGAACGAGUGAAUGGAGAUAUGCGCAUGGCACUAAAUCAAUUGCAAUAUAUGAGUCUCUCCAUGUCAGUCAUUAAGUAUGAUGAUGUCAGACAACGCCUUCUUAGCAGUGCAAAGGAUGAAGAUAUUUCUCCAUUCACAGCUGUUGAUAAGCUUUUUGGCUUUAAUGGAGGUAAGCUGAGAAUGGAUGAGCGGAUUGACCUUAGCAUGAGUGAUCCUGAUUUGGUUCCUCUUCUUAUUCAGGAAAAUUAUAUUAAUUAUAGGCCAAGUUCAAUUGGUAAGGAUGAGAGUGGGAUGAAAAGGAUGAGCAUGAUUGCCCGUGCUGCUGAGUCUAUUGCCGAUGGAGAUAUAAUAAAUGUACAGAUUCGAAGAUAUCGACAGUGGCAACUCUCUCAAACUGGUUCCCUUGCUUCCUGUAUUAUUCCUGCUGCAUUGUUGCAUGGACAAAGGGAGACACUUGAACAGGGAGAAAGGAACUUUAACAGGUUUGGUGGGUGGCUGGGAAAGAAUUCGACUAUGGGCAAAAAUUUGAGGCUUUUGGAGGAUUUGCAUGUUCAUCUUCUUGCUUCUCGUGAGUUUAUUUCAUGCAGGGAGACUCUUCGACUUGAAUAUCUUACUAUUCUUUUAAAACAAUUGACUGAUCCUCUUCGGCUGCUGCCUAAGGAUGAAGCUGUUGAGAAGGUUGUGGAGUUCAUGAAUUUUUACUCAAUAAGUCAGGGAGACACUGACACUGUUGUGGAGUUGUCAAAAUUCCAGGUGGUCACAUCUACUAUAUAAGAAGCAUCGGCUUUUUAAAAACUUUCAGAUAAUGUCAUUUUUGUUUUAUCCAUUAGGGGCAUACAAAUCCAAUGGAUGGCAUCCCAUCUGCUGUCAAAGCAGCCCUGACCAGAGCAUAUAAAGAGGGAAACAAAUUAAGGAUGGUACGAGCUGCAGAUUUGAUCUCACUUCCUGGCGUGAAAAAGGCCCCUAAGAAGCGUAUUGCAGCAAUCCUAGAACCAUCUGAGGAUGGUUUAGUGGAGGAAAAUGGUGAUGCAUUAGCAGAAAAUGAAGAAGAAGACUCUUCUGACACUGAGGACUUAGGUAAACAUUAAAAGUCUGAUAAGACAAGAUAAUUUUUUGCAUCUCAUAGUAGAGUUGUUUUGUGAUUUGAUUGCUUGUGAUUGUUUGUGGUCGUCUCAGCUUGCAAAAUUUUUAAGGAUGAUCUAAUGCAUAGUUAUUGUGCAACUUUAUCCAUCUCAUUCCCACAUAAAACUAGAGAAAUGGUAGAGAAAGUAAACGGAAAAGAACUGCUGCUUACACCGACUCUAUUCAAGCUGCUACGAGCAGAAACAAUAAAUUGUGCUGAUCUAUUCCUUAGAAGUUUCUUUUAUAUUAUUUGGAGAUACUUCAUUGAUAAAAUUCUUCUGGGAUGUGUGAAUCAUUGGUCUUAUUUAUUUUAUUUGAUUUCAUUUUUCUUCCUGAUGUGUCAGAAGGAACUGCUGAUGGCAAGAAGCUCCAGUCUGAACUUAAUAGUUUGAAUUCAAAAGGAAUCCAAGUAGAGGUGGAACUAAAGGGCACAGAAAAUUCAAAUACUAAGAAGACACCAAGGGGCAGGGGAAAAGGUGGGUCCUCAUCUGUGGAAAAGCCUGCAGGCAGGGGAAGAGGGGGUUCUGGAUCCUCAGAGAAGGCUGCAUCAAAGAGAAAGAGAUGAGAAUUGAUUAUUUAGUACUUCGCAAUGCCUAUGACUGGUGUAAGUGGAGUCCCUUUGUGGACUAUGUACUUUUUGUGGGUUAGUUGGAGAAUGGUGAUAAAUUUUGUAAAUGGGUUUUCUCAUGGGUAAAAAUAUCUUCUAAGGCAACGGCUUUCUUAUAAAUUCAGUUUUACUAAAAUACUGUAUGCACCCUUCUAAUUUUCCCUCCUGCAUGGAUUAUGAUUUAUGUGAAUUCAAGUUUUUGGCAUUCAUAGAGGUUACAAGUUUUUAAACUUCGCUCCACCAAGCACCAACAAAUUAAGAAUAAGAUGGUUUAUAUGGGGUUUGUAUAUUUAUAAACUGAUUUGAGACGGAUAGAU